AAUUUUUUUUAGGUGUGAAGAAUGAGUGGGUGAGAAGGUAAUAGGUAGGUUACUAGUGUUGCAAUAUGUAGAUGAACCUCUUUGACAAAUUCUGUCUGCCUAAUUUUUCUACCAUGUCCAUACUAGAAAUUUUUGUCCAAACAUAGGGGGUUUGGACAAGUUCUUCUGGUCCAAAAUCUUUUGGAUUUCUGAUAAUAACGAUAGUGUGCGUGAGUGAAGAAAUAAGAAAUGAGAUCUUCAAGACAAACUGAGUUACAGACAACCUGUAUUAAAACCAGAUUGGGCAUGGGCGUAUCAUGCCCCACUUGCAUAAAUUUAGGUUCCAAGUUCUUACCAUGUACAGUUUAGACAAAUAGCCAUGGAUACAUCUCCUUGUCUGUGGCUCAAACCUUGUUUUAUCUGAAUACUAGCCACUCAAAGUUGAUGAAAGCAUGAAAGGAAUGCCAGAGUGGAAAGGUUGUUCCAACCAAAGGCAAAAUAUUUAUCAAAAUUUACCAAUUCACUUAAAAUAUCCUUGACAUCUACUGUUGAGUGAGUCAUUUGUUGGCCAUAUAACUUUAAUUCUGGCCAAGAAACACAAGUUUCCCUGCAAGAUAUGGCAAGGAGGACAGCAUCUUCUGUUUUCAUGUACUGAUGCAUUCUGUUUAUUGGUCUUUGGGUCCUAAAUCUCCUCAGUAUGUACUUCUCAUCAGCCAAAGACUUAGAAACAUAUUAUGUGUAGUUUAUGUAAUCUCUAGGGCUGCUGCAAUAUUUUCUCAAAUUCAGAGGAAGUAACCAAUUUUAUUAUGAAUUAUUUGUUUUUUGGCAGAUUUUGUUAAUUGUUUUGUGGCUCA